rnacentral:rRNA from 1 species
AUUGAACGCUGGCGGCAUGCUUUACACAUGCAAGUCGAACGGUAACAGGGAGCUUGCUCCGCUGACGAGUGGCGAACGGGUGAGUAAUGCAUCGGAACGUACCCAGUCGUGGGGGAUAACGUAGCGAAAGUUACGCUAAUACCGCAUACGUCCUGAGGGAGAAAGCGGGGGACCGAAAGGCCUCGCGCGAUUGGAGCGGCCGAUGUCGGAUUAGCUAGUUGGUGGGGUAAAGGCCUACCAAGGCGACGAUCCGUAGCGGGUCUGAGAGGAUGAUCCGCCACACUGGGACUGAGACACGGCCCAGACUCCUACGGGAGGCAGCAGUGGGGAAUUUUGGACAAUGGGGGCAACCCUGAUCCAGCCAUGCCGCGUGAGUGAAGAAGGCCUUCGGGUUGUAAAGCUCUUUCAGACGGAAAGAAAACGCAUCGGUGAAUACCCGAUGUGGAUGACGGUACCGUAAGAAGAAGCACCGGCUAACUACGUG